UGGGGAAUAUUGGACAAUGGGGGCAACCCUGAUCCAGCCAUGCCGCGUGAGUGAAGAAGGCCUUAGGGUUGUAAAGCUCUUUCGGCGGGGACGAUGAUGACGGUACCCGCAGAAGAAGCCCCGGCUAACUCCGUGCCAGCAGCCGCGGUAAUACGGAGGGGGCGAGCGUUGUUCGGAAUUACUGGGCGUAAAGCGCACGUAGGCGGCGUGUCAAGUCGGGGGUGAAAGGCCUGGGCUUAACCUGGGAACUGCCCUUGAUACUGGCAGGCUGGAGUCCGGGAGGGGGGGGCGGAAUGCCCAGGGUAGAGGUGAAAUUCGUAGAUAUUGGGAAGAACACCGGUGGCGAAGGCGGCCACCUGGCCCGGUACUGACGCUGAGGUGCGAAAGCGUGGGGAGCAAACA
rnacentral:rRNA from 1 species